rnacentral:lncRNA from 1 species
AGUGAUUAUUUAGUCAGUUUUCUUCAUUACAUUGCAAGCUUCAAUGCAACAUGAUUUCAUUAUUUUAUUUAGAUAAGAUACCAGACAAGACAGUAGUCACAGACGCAGAAGCAAGGUGAAAACUUAAAUAAAAAAUAAGAAUCAUGUUUAUAUUAAUGUACAAUUUUCACUAGAACUCCGUCAAUAUUUAAGAGUGUUUAACAUUAAUUACAGAAGAAAUUACUGUGGUUUCACAAUAACGAAACCCUUUCAUUUUAUUUGAAACAGUGAUUACUUUAGAAAAAAAGUAAAAUAACAAAAAGACUCGAAAUUCCAAGGAAAAAUUAAAACGGAAUGUCCUUUAUCGAAUGGUAAUAAUCGAAAGCUUAAACAUCAUGGAUUUAACCUGGUUUUAUAGCUAGUGAAACCUCCUUGCACUUGCAUAGAAUUUCAUUAUAUUGUUUGAAGUAAUAAUUCUAUUUUGAUGAAUAAUUGAACAAAUAUAUAUGACUACAUAAUUCCCUUCUAAAUAACUUCUACAUAUAAUCAUGUAAAUUUUAUAAGUGUCUGGUUGUAUAUGGUCCCAUGUAAGUGCAGUGAAAUAAAUUUGUAUAUAUUAUUCCGCGUAUACUUAAUACAUUUCUCAGCUCAGAUAUUCAAAAAGUUGUAGCUGUUUGUUUGUCUUUCUGAUAUUAUGUUUUUUUUUUGGUCUGUGUUAUUGUGCUAUGGUAAAUUUUGGUAUUCUCGUCCUUUAUUUUUGCUAAUGUGUUUUGUCUAUAUGUCUUUUUGUGUUUCUUUGUUGCAUAUUUGUUUGGUUUUAUAGUUAUUAUAACUGGAUACUAUGAACUAGUUCAGGUAGGUUCCUAAAAAUUAACUGUUUCAGUUGUCAGAGCUGAAAACAGACGAUGGUCACCAAUGUACCCUAUUUUUGACAUGUUUUGCUUUUAUGUCUGGAUGUUUUUCACUCAUUGUUUUAAAUAUAGUGGAACUAUAUACUGCUGUCAUACAAAUGAGAGAUUUAGCUAGCUAUAAAACAGGUUUACUCCAACAUUUUUUACAUAGGAAAAUGCCCGUAACAAGUCAGGAAUAUGACAAUUACAAUCCAUUCGUUUGGUGUGUUUGAACUUUUGAUUUUUGCCAUUUGAUAACGGUCUUUCCGAAAUGCCUCGAAGUUCGGUAUUUUUGGUAUUUCACUUUCUACAAAUAAUCUUUUGUAAGCGUCUUUGUAAAAUUUACUAUCAACUUCAAAAUAUUUUGUUGGAGUCUUUCUUAGAUAUCUUUGUAUGUUUGUUUGAUCUUUUUAGUCGGCUGUGUUAGAUAUGUCUGUAUUGUAUAUAUAUACAGUAGUCAGCACUUCGGUGUUGACAUGAAUACCAAUUAUGUGAUCAUUUUUAUAAAUUUCCUGAUACAAAACUUUGAAUUUUUCGAAAAACUAAGGAUUUUCUUGUCCCAGGAAUAGAUUACCUUAGCCGUAUUGGGCACAACUUUUUGGAAUUUUGGAUCCUCUAUGCUCUUCAACUUUUAUAUCGUUUGGCUUUAUAACUAUUUUGAUAUGAGCGUCACUGAGGAGUCUUAUGUAGACGAAACGCGCGUCUGGGGUACUAAAUUAUAAUCCUGAUACCUUUGAUAACUAUUGACUGCUGGAUCCCCAUUAUUGUCACAUUAACUUAUUGUGUUUGGUUGUGUUGCAUACCCAAUUUAUUCAAUGCAACGGACCUAUCAACAACUGCGAUACUUGUAUGAAGUUAAUCUAGCUCCAAAAUCAUGUUUUACCUACCAUUUUCAGCCUAUUUUUGAAAAUGAUGCAUCCUUGAUAUUUUCCAGCCGCAGUAAGUUCUUCAUCUUUUAAGCACGGUUUUACACCUUGCAAAACCAACAACUAAGCCUUUCCACAAUGAGUAUGUCGUAAACCCUUACUCUCAUUUCCUUUCACAGUUUGAAGCAGAGAAGAGGAUACUGUGGUACCAGUUUCGAUUGUAGUUGCAGAAGCGGCCAGGUCGCAGUUUGCGUACAUCAUGUCUGCAUAUGUGAGGAUCCAGUUGGAAAAUAGGUAGCUAAAUUUAUAACAAAUAUAUUUUAUAUGAGGAGUUUUCCCGGAUUGAUCAUAUAUAUAUCUUCAACUGAUAUUACGCAUACCUAUUUGUUAUUUUCACUUUGUACACAUUUGCUUCCUGCAUUUUGUGGUGCAGGUUAUUCAUUUCUAUCCUGCCUUGUGCGAACAUAUCUAUUUCAGUUCCAACCAUGCAGGUUAUUUAUUUUAAAAAUGACACUGCUCCCUCCUUAAAAAUCAAUUGGUCGUCCCUUAAUGGUAAUAAGUAAAUCUCAAGAAAGAUGUUUUUAGUCAAACUCCUAUAUGAAGAAUCUCUUUUUAUGUUGCCGAAGACUGCAUAAAAUGCCCCCUCUUUUUUUUUGAAAUCAUUUAUAGUAAAUGAGGGAUUUUUUUUUAUAUAUAGUAAACAUUACAUUACAUCAAAGUUGAUUCACAAAAAAAAACCAAGGAAAAAAAUCACAGUAGGCUAUCCAUUGUUUAAAAAUAAAAAUCUAAUAUUCCGUGCAAACAAUGAAAAAUUAAUCCAAAUACAACAUAGAAAUUCUGCCCCAAACGCUUGUGAUCCAGACGCAAAAUCAGGAACAAUCUUCUGGAGAAGUUCGAAGUUUACAGUCUUCAUAACGAUUUUGUUUACAGAUGCGAUAUGUCUAUGUCUCGAUUAAAGAGGUAUAUUCUUUAGACUGACGACAGUCACACAGAGCUGUAAAUUUAGCUAUGAUUUGACAAAUUCAUAUUUGAGACAUACUUGACUGAGUAUAAAUUCGCAUAUCGGAUAAGGGUGGCUGAUGUCGACUACACUGUUGAAAUAUUCGGUUUAGUUCCAUUUGCAAUUACUUCGUUUUUUAUUAAAUGAGUUUUUGAGCAUUGGUAAACUACUGUUGUCUCUUAUUCAUUAAACAAUUUUCUUCUCUUUUCAGAAGAAAACCUAAAGGUAUUUCAAAGGUUACAUUUGGACAUGUAAAGAAUAGUAUUGAAAAAAUAAAAUUACACUGAAUUAUAUACUGUUAUGACCAAUAGUAUUGAAUUGAAUUUGCUUUGUUUAGUUAUAUUGAAGUUUUAUUACUUGGAGAUAUAGUAAACUCUACUAUGUCAUACAUAAAAUACAAAAUUAAUAAGC